UCAGUGCAUUUAAAGAAUGCACAAUCUGAGUCGGCCAUUCAUAACCCUAAAAAGAUCUCGGCCCUCUAUUCAAAAACCAUGCCAAAAGUGCCUGUCCCCCUAUUCUCAUUUCAAACCAGAUCCCAGAGCCCCCCCUUUUUCAAAAACAAAAAAAAAAAACUCAGAGCCCCCCUCCUCUCCUCCGCCCGACCUCGUCGCCGGAACUCGCCGCCGCUCCGCUCCCCGCCCUCGAGUUCAGAAAUAACCUUCUUUAAGUAUUGCCUUACAUUCUUUAUUGGUUUUAUUUGAUUUUCCUCUCUGUUUAGCUUAUCUCUGCGGCAAGCGAACAAAUACCUGUCAUUUUGUACAAUUUGAUAACUGUUAUAUUCUCUUCUAAAAGUAUUAGAUUGAUUAUCUUUAUAUAUACACGAACCAAUUACAUCUACACAAAGGAUUUCACAAAAUAAUAUGAACGUUGUAGCGAUGGGAUUGAGAUUUGCUUUGAUCAGUGCUGGCAAAUCGUUGCAUAAUGUUUCAUUGCUUGAUUAGGCAUCACUAGAGGGUGUGGUUGGCAAAAGAUCUGUGCUUUAAUUAAUCUUGCGUCUUACUACCUUGUGGGGAUUCCAAUUUCUGUUGUCUUGACUUUUGUUCUCCAUCUUGAAACAAAGGGUCUUUGGACAGGAAUCACAUGUGCACUAUUUGCUCAACCUUUCCUCCUUUCAGUAACUACGCUUCGAGCGGACUGGGACAAAGAGGUUAAGAAGGCGACAGAUAGAGUUUAUGAAUCCACUAUCCCUAUGCAUACAGCAACAACAACGGAAACAACAGCAGCAACAACAGCAGCAGCAAAUUCAAACUAAAAUAUAUCACUUUCCUGGUGAUUCGCCCUUCAAUUGGAGUCGAAAUUAUUUUUUGGAGUAAGAGAAAAAUCUCCCCAAGCUCAUUGCAUUCAGAGGCUAAAUGAAUUACAGUAAGAAAGUACAGGAGCAAGCAAGCAGAUAGAGAAUAAAGGAUAAGAGAAUGACACAUUUUGUAGUUCGUUGUAAAUGAGAAAUUGAUGUACGUCUCCAGUAUUCAAUGAAAAUGUGAUUUUAACCCUGUU